rnacentral:rRNA from 1 species
UACGAAGGGGGCUAGCGUUGUUCGGAAUUACUGGGCGUAAAGCGCACGUAGGCGGACAUUUAAGUCAGGGGUGAAAUCCCGGGGCUCAACCCCGGAACGGCCUUUGAUACUGGGUGUCUUGAGUUCGGAAGAGGCGAGUGGAAUUGCGAGUGUAGAGGUGAAAUUCGUAGAUAUUCGCAGGAACACCAGUGGCGAAGGCGGCUCACUGGUCCGAUACUGACGCUGAGGUGCGAAAGCGUGGGGAGCAAACAGG